rnacentral:rRNA from 1 species
UCAAGUUAUUAAGGGUGCAGGGCGGAUGCCUUGGCACUAGGAGCCGAUGAAGGACGUGAUAAGCUGCGAUAAGCUUCGGGGAGUUGCACGUAAACUUUGAUCCGAAGAUUUCCGAAUGAGGAAACUCACUUAGAGUAAUGUCUAAGUAUCAUUAAGUGAAUACAUAGCUUAAUGAGGGGAACUCAGGGAACUGAAACAUCUAAGUACCUGAAGGAAGAGAAAGAAAUUCGAUUCCGUAAGUAGCGGCGAGCGAACGCGGAUUAGCCCAAACCAAUAAAGUUUUCUUUAUUGGGGUUGCGGACAUAUCAUAACGAAGAGGUAUCGUAAUUGAAGAGGUUUGGAAAGACCCACCACAGAAGGUAAUAGUCCUGUAUGUUAAACGAGAAGACUUUAGAUAUGAUCCAGAGUACCACGGGACACGUGAAACCCUGUGGGAAACAGGAGGGACCACCCUCCAAGGCUAAAUACUACCUAGUGACCGAUAGCGUAUAGUACCGUGAGGGAAAGGUGAAAAGAACCCCGGGAGGGGAGUGAAAUAGAACCUGAAACCCUGCACUUACAAGCUGUGGAAGCACAUUUCUUGUGUGACCGCGUACUUUUUGUAGAACGGGCCAACGAGUUACGUUAAGUAGCAAGGUUAAGCACUUAAGGUGCGGAGCCGUAGCGAAAGCGAGUUUUAACUGAGCGUUCAGUUACUUGACGUAGACCCGAAACCGGGCGACCUACCCAUGAGCAGGAUGAAGCGAAAGUAAAAUUUCGUGGAGGUCCGAACCCACGAGCGUUGAAAAGCUCGGGGAUGACUUGUGGGUAGCGGUGAAAUUCCAAUCGAGCCCGGAGAUAGCUGGUUCUCCCCGAAAUAGCUUUAGGGCUAGCCUCAAGGUGAGAGAUACGGAGGUAGAGCACUGAAUGUCCUAGGGGGUAUUGCACCUACCGAAGACUAUCAAACUCCGAAUGCCGUCAUCUUAUACUUGGGAGUCAGACUGUGGGUGAUAAGAUUCAUAGUCGAAAGGGCAACAGCCCAGAUCGUCAGCUAAGGUCCCUAAAUGUAAGUUAAGUGGUAAAGGAUGUGGGAUUGCACAGACAACCAGGAUGUUGGCUUAGAAGCAGCCACUCAUUCAAAGAGUGCGUAAUAGCUCACUGGUCGAGUGAUCCUGCGCCGAAGAUUUCCGGGGCUAAAACUUACUACCGAAGCUACGGCAUCAGUAAUGAUGGGUAGGGGAGCUUCCCAUACGGGUUGAAGCAUGACCGUAAGGACAUGUGGACAGUAUGGGAGUGAGAAUGUUGGCAUGAGUAGCGAGAUGUGGGUGAGAAUCCCACAGGCCGUAAACCCAAGGUUUCCAGGGGAAGGUUCGUCCGCCCUGGGUUAGUCGGGACCUAAGCUGAGGCCGAAAGGCGUAGGUGAUGGACAACAGGUUGAUAUUCCUGUACUACCGAUAACCGUUUGAGAGAUGGGAUGACACAGUAGGAUAAGCUAAGCACACUGUUGGUUAUGUGUGCCCAAGCAUUGAGGCAGUCAAAGUAGGCAAAUCCGCUUUGAUAAUGCUGGGAUGUGAUGGGGAGCGAAAUUUAGUAGCGAAGUAGCUGAUUUCACACUGUCAAGAAAAGUCUCUAUCGAGGUUAAAGGUACCCGUACCGCAAACCGACACAGGUGGGUGAGGAGAGUAUCCUAAGGCCAGCGAGAGAACUGUUGUUAAGGAACUCGGCAAAAUGACCCCGUAACUUAGGGAUAAGGGGUGCCACCAUCAGGUGGCCGCAGAGAAUAGGCCCAAGCGACUGUUUACCAAAAACAUAGGUUUCUGCUAAGUCGCAAGACGAUGUAUAGGAGCUGACGCCUGCCCGGUGCUGGAAGGUUAAGGGGAUCUGUUAGAGCAAUCGAAGCAGUGAACUUAAGCCCCAGUAAACGGCGGCCGUAACUAUAACGGUCCUAAGGUAGCGAAAUUCCUUGUCGGGUAAGUUCCGACCCGCACGAAAGGCGUAACGAUUUGGGCACUGUCUCAACAACAGACUCGGUGAAAUUGUAAUUCCGGUGAAGAUGCCGGAUACCUGCGACAGGACGGAAAGACCCCAUGGAGCUUUACUGUAGCUUGACAUUGGGUCUUGGUACUACAUGUACAGGAUAGGUGGGAGGCUUUGAAACCAGGACGCCAGUUUUGGCGGAGCCAUCCUUGGGAUACCACCCUUGUAGUACUGGGACUCUAACCAUAGGCCAUGAAUCUGGUCUUGGGACACUGUCAGGUGGGCAGUUUGACUGGGGCGGUCGCCUCCCAAAAGGUAACGGAGGCGCUCAAAGGUUCUCUCAGUACGGUCGGAAAUCGUACGUAGAGUGUAAAGGCAAAAGAGAGCUUGAUUGCAAGACAUACAGGUCGAGCAAGGAUGAAAAUCGGACUUAGUGAUCCGGUGGUUCUGCGUGGAAGGGCCAUCGCUCAACGGAUAAAAGCUACCCUGGGGAUAACAGGCUUAUCUCCCCCAAGAGUCCACAUCGACGGGGAGGUUUGGCACCUCGAUGUCGGCUCAUCACAUCCUGGGGCUGUAGUAGGUCCCAAGGGUUGGGCUGUUCGCCCAUUAAAGUGGUACGCGAGCUGGGUUCAGAACGUCGUGAGACAGUUCGGUCCCUAUCCGUCGCAGGCGUAGGAAAUUUGAGAAGACCUGUCCUUAGUACGAGAGGACCGGGAUGGACGUACCUCUGGUGUACCAGUUGUUCUGCCAAGGGCAUGGCUGGGUAGCUAUGUACGGAAUGGAUAAGCGCUGAAAGCAUCUAAGCGCGAAGCCAACUUCAAGAUAAGAUUUCCCACCGCAAGGGUAAGACCCCAGAAAGACUAUCUGGUUGAUAGGUCGAAGGUGUAAGUGCAGCAAUGUAUUUAGCUUAUCGAUACUAAUAGGUCGAGGACUUGACCAA